AGAGUUUGAUCCUGGCUCAGAACGAACGCUGGCGGCAUGCCUAACACAUGCAAGUCGAACGAGCCCUUCGGGGUUAGUGGCGCACGGGUGCGUAACGCGUGGGAAUCUGCCCCUUGGUUCGGAAUAACAGCUAGAAAUGGCUGCUAAUACCGGAUGACGACGUAAGUCCAAAGAUUUAUCGCCGAGGGAUGAGCCCGCGUAGGAUUAGCUAGUUGGUGGGGUAAAGGCCUACCAAGGCGACGACGGGUAGCCGACCUGAGAGGGUGACCGGCCACACUGGGACUGAGACACGGCCCAGACUCCUACGGGAGGCAGCAGUGGGGAAUAUUGCACAAUGGGCGGAAGCCUGAUGCAGCGACGCCGCGUGAGGGAUGACGGCCUUCGGGUUGUAACCUCUUUCGACAGGGACGAAGCGCAAGUGACGGUACCUGUAGAAGAAGCACCGGCCAACUACGUGCCAGCAGCCGCGGUAAUACGUAGGGUGCGAGCGUUGUCCGGAAUUACUGGGCGUAAAGAGCUUGUAGGCGGUUUGUCGCGUCUUCUGUGAAAACUCACAGCUCAACUGUGAGCUUGCAGGGGAUACGGGCAGACUAGAGUACUUCAGGGGAGACUGGAAUUCCUGGUGUAGCGGUGAAAUGCGCAGAUAUCAGGAGGAACACCGGUGGCGAAGGCGGGUCUCUGGGAAGUAACUGACGCUGAGAAGCGAAAGCGUGGGUAGCGAACAGGAUUAGAUACCCUGGUAGUCAAUCGAA
rnacentral:rRNA from 1 species